UGCCUCUUAAAUGACAGGUGCCCCAUCUUUUAUUGUAGCGUUGAAAUUCCCAUCAAGUGAGAAAGGCACAAUGUAGAAUUUAUGAGGACUUGCCUCCUGACUUGAGCCACGGAAACACUACCACAGCGUCUACCCUCAGCCUUUUCCUGUGUCCCUCUCCCCUGUUGUCCUCUGGCCUCCUGGGUCUUUAUUUUUUUCUUCCUAUUCAUGUCACCUAAGGCAUCCCUCCAGCACAUGGCUCUUGUUUCUACUUCUGACUACAUCUAAAUGCCAUCUGUAAAGUUAGAGAUUCUUACGGAGCUUGUGUUUAAACCUCACGAGUGUCAGCACAUUGUUUCAAACUGCAACCUAAUUAUUAAAUGUAAGUUUGAAGACUGGUGAUGAUUCAUAUUUCCCAGCAUCCAUACUUUGCAGUUUGUUUUUCUUGGCAAGAGUUUGUUUCAAGUAUCCAUGAAUGAAGAGAAAGGUUUCUUGUGUUUUGAUUUCUAGAAAGAAGUAAUGAGUCUUUUCCUGCCAUCUUUUAAGAUAUUAUUUUACCUUUUAUAGAUAGCAGGGUUUAAAUCUGUUCAUUAAUAUUAUAGGCCAGUUAUUUCUUAAUCUGUAGACUUUUCCUUAGGGGACCCUCCUUAAUUAUCUAUGACUGUUAAAGCCCACCCCCUAAAAACGUCCAUUUUAUGGUCACUGAAUUUCAGUUAGAAAAGAUUUUCACCUGAAAGUCGUUAUUUAUAUUAUGAAAAUUGGUGGGUUUAUGUAUCAUUGCUUAAAAUGGUUUGUGUUUAUGUUUUCUCAUGUGUCGUUGAAGAAUUUUCACUCUUCCCUCCACAUGGACCCUACAGUGCACGUGUACCCUCAGUCACACCUCUAGGCUUAGUCCAGUUCAGCCUCUUCCUGUGUCGUUUCCCUUUAAGUUAAAAAUUCGAUACCCCUACUUUUACUUUUCUUCUUUAUUUUCUUUGUCUCAUUUUAUUUAAUCGAAGGAACCCGUAAGACUGUCAUAUAACUAGAAAUAAAUGGUAUCUUAUAUGUUUGUCCAUUACUAAAAUUCAUAAAGAGGUGGAAAAUGAUGACUGCUACCUUCCUUUAUUCUUACCACAGAUACUGCAAGAAAAUAAAAAAUAAAGCACCCAGUCAUCAUAGCCAAGAGAGUCUACAUAACACUGUCCGUGCCUGUGGAGCAUCACAUGAGGGCUAACACUGUCCCGGUGAUAGCAUAGCGGGGGCACUCAUCAAACGUCGUCCAACAUCCACUGAAUAGUAUGAGUGUGAUGUAUUUGACUUUGAGGAUAUUACUGGGAGUUCAUAUUUCAUUCCACAACCGUUCAGAAAGUUUUCUUUGGUAACACUCAGUGAUUUGGAAUGCUUUUGAAAAUCUGAGAUAGAACAGACCUUGAGGCUUAGUGUUCGCUACCUGAACUAUCAUUUUCUAGACUAGUGUCUCACUGGUUAGCUGCACUACCAGCCUUGGCUUAUCAUGUUUACUUCAAUAAUACCUUUGUUUUGUUGUGCUUUCUUUUUUUUGACCUUACCAUCUUUUUAAAAUAAAUGUAGAUCACUAUCCUCUGCCAGCAGUGGGAAUGUCAAGGCCACCACUGUGAAAGAGAAUGUACUGGUAACUCAGUCUCCACAGCAGUGCUCAGAAGGGGCCUCCGUCUGUAAACUCUUUCCUGUGGAAGCAAGUGGAACUGAGUUCAGAUUCCUAUUUACAAAGCCGAGCAAAUCAGCAAGUUCUUAUCAUGCUGGUACUGGGGAGGGAGAGUAGGAGGAUCCCGGAGCUGGCUGGCCAGCUAGUAUAACUGAAUCUGAGGGUCCCGGCCACUGAAAGACAGGCAUAAGGUGUGGGGCAAAAGGAAAAGAAAUGCAGUGUUGCCCUCUGGGCUCCACACAUGCACAUACACACACACAAUUAAAAUGGCUUUACAAAGCCGUUGUGUCCUAGUCACUCUUCUAUUGCUCUGAAGAGACACAAUGACCAAGGCAAAUUAAAUGAGAAAGCAUUUAAAUAGGGGCUCGCUUACUUUGUGUCAGUAUGGCGGCAGGCAUGACACUGGAGCAGUGGUUGAGAGCUUCCAUCUGAUCUACAAGCGAGAGGCAGGUGAAUGAGACUGGGCGGCCUGGCUUGAGCUUUUCAAGCCUUACUACCCACCCUCAGUCACUCUCUCUCCAACGAAGCCGUCGAUUCUUCCAGAACAGCUCUACCAAAUAGGAAGUAAGCAUUCAAAUAUGUGAACCUAUGAAGCCAUUUCUGUUCAAACCACCACGCCAAGCUCAGCGUGUUGUUAUGUUUUGCUAUGUUAUCCUUAUUCUCUUUGGUGUUCACUGUCUACCCAAAAUGUCUAGCCUGCAUGCAACCUUGAAAAUGUAAUUAUAAUAAUGCAAAUUCAGAGUUUAAUAUUCUUAUGGAAAAAUCUAUUCUCCUGAUUUUGUACUUGGAAGCAAACCAUAUACCUUAAUUCCACAGAGUGGCUUUCAAGAGCAGGACAGCUCUAGGUAUAGCAGGAAAUGCUGGUUAUAGAAAUACCCUCACAAAACACAGCAACCCAGCGACUCUCCAAGCUUCUAAGUCACAGCUAUAAAAAAGUCAAAUGGCCUUUUACUUUUUUAGCAGAGACAUUGCGUUUGCCAGCUAAACCCAUUCUAAUGCACAUUUUUCUGUUUUGUACUGUGUGUUCUCAAGAAGCUGAUUUGUUUAUUCAUUUAGACAGAAAUAAAACUGUAAGCCUGUGAUUUGAAAGGCAAAGACAGGAUUAUGAUCAAAUUUAGGCUAGCCUGAGCUACAUUGAUAUCCUGUCUUAAAAUAUAUAUAUAUAAGAAUCAUGAAAUAAAAAGACAUU
rnacentral:lncRNA from 1 species